GUUACUUACCUUCUCUGAGCCUCAUUGCAGGCUACUUCAUAGAUUUGUGGCCAGGGCUGAAUGAAGAAGGACUGUGAAAUUCUUAGCCCACAGUGGUAGUUCAACAACUUCUCCCCACCUCACCCUCUUCUUCAUGCCCAGUAAGCAGUUCUGGUGGAAAGGUUUCCCCUUUCCCUGACACUCUAGAUAUUGGCUUUUCUCAUCCCCCAAUCUGACGGCUUGACUUUUUUUCUU
rnacentral:lncRNA from 10 species